AAAGCGCCCUUUACGGGUUUUCUCCUUGACCUCUCCUUUUUCUUUUUCUCUUUUUUUUUUCUUUUUUUCCUAUUUUGACUUUGAUUUUUUGUUUUUUGUUUUUUUGAUUUUUUUGAUUUUUUUGAUUUUUUUUUGAUUUUUUUGAUUUUUGAUUUUUUAUAUUUUUUUUUGAGUCUGAACUCAUGAGAUUAGGCAAGUCCUGGUCAUGCUUUUCGACCAGAAUCAAUGUUAUUCUAAAGUCUUCCACAUAAGAUCUUCCACUUUCAUCUUGUAUGUGAGAAACCUUCUUUG
rnacentral:lncRNA from 1 species